AUAUGUAUGUGUGCAUCUGCAUGUGUGCAUAUGCACACGAAUGCAGGUACUCAUAGAAGCCAGAAGAA
rnacentral:miRNA from 1 species